UUCAAAUCCGUAGAUUUCUAGCUUGCUAGAAGAUGACGAGCGGCGGACGGGUGAGAAAGCUUGGGAAUAUGCCUUAUGGUGGGGGACAACAGUUGGAAACGACUGCUAAUACCGCAUAACGUCUACGGACCAAAGGGGGGGAUCUUCGGACCUCCCGCCAUUUGAUUAGCCCAAGUGAGAUUAGCUAGUUGGUGAGGUAAUGGCUCACCAAGGCGACGAUCUCUAGCUGGUUUGAGAGGAUGAUCAGCCACACUGGGACUGAGACACGGCCCAGACUCCUACGGGAGGCAGCAGUGGGGAAUAUUGCACAAUGGGCGAGAGCCUGAUGCAGCCAUGCCGCGUGUGUGAAGAAGGCCUUCGGGUUGUAAAGCACUUUCAGUAAGGAGGAAAGGUUAGUCGUUAAUAGCGGCUAACUGUGACGUUACUUACAGAAGAAGCACCGGCUAACUUCGUGCCAGCAGUCGCGGUAAUACGAGGGGUGCAAGCGUUAAUCGGAAUUACUGGGCGUAAAGCGUUCGUAGGCGGUUGAAUUAGCAAGAUGUGAAAGCCCAGGGCUCAACCUUGGAACUGCAUUUUGAACUGUUCGACUAGAGUACUGUAGAGGGUGGUGUAAUUUCCAGUGUAGCGGUGAAAUGCGUAGAGAUUGGAAGGUACAUCAGUUGGCGAACGCGGCCACCUGGACAGAU
rnacentral:rRNA from 1 species